rnacentral:rRNA from 1 species
UACGGAGGUGGCAAGCGUUGUCCGGAAUUAUUGGGCGUAAAGCGCGCGCAGGCGGUCCUUUAAGUCUGAUGUGAAAGCCCACGGCUCAACCGUGGAGGGGCAUUGGAAACUGGGGGACUUGAGUGCAGAAGAGGAAAGCGGAAUUCCACGUGUAGCGGUGAAAUGCGUAGAUAUCUGGAGGAAUACCGGUGGCGAAGGCGGCAUCCUGGACCGGCAUUGACGCUGAGGAGCGAAAGCCAGGGGAGCAAACGGG